CCAUUCCCUUCCCCCUCUCUCAGAUAUUCCAGACCAGUGCUCUCCGUCUCCCUGUAAUCCUCGAGGUACGGUGCGCUGUGAGGACCAAAAGGGCGGCUUCCUCUGCCACUGCUUCACUGGCUGGACAGGAGUCCGUUGUGAGAAAGAUGUCAACGAGUGCAACAAGAGGAAUGGAGGAUGUGACCACGAGUGUAACAACACUAUGGGUAGCUACCAUUGCUCCUGUCGCCGCGGUUACAUGCUGGUCGGACGCCAGAUGUGUAACGACGUGAAUGAGUGCCAGGAUCCAGGUAUGUGUGGGACAGCGAGGUGUGUGAACCAGGAUGGAGCCUAUGACUGUCUGUGUGAGACGGGAUAUGUUUACGACAACAACACCAAGACCUGCCUAGGUGAGCAGUACACCAAAAACACAUG